ACCUUUAUUUUACCCUCGACCUCAUUCAGAUGAACAUUAAGGGGAUGUUGCGGUAGUAAAAUGGGGGUUCUCAAAAAAUAACUGGCGUUGGGUAGAUAGGGAGUGCUGAAUACGCCCAUAUCUAACCCGAGCCAAACAGCUAAAGAACAACUCAGCCGCCAGGUGCCGCCUGCCAUGACCAACAUGGCUGUCACCCCGAGCGACAAUUUCAGUAGAAUUUCUGCACUCAGAUUCGAAAUAUCCCGCGCAAUGUGCGUCCGCGUUGUUUUUCUGUUUGGAGUAGCCGCGCUAGCGCUGCAGGCGCUGCAGAGAAUGCCGCGCCAAACCCGAAACUACGCCACCGUACCGAAACUUUCGAAACGCCGCGCCGACGGGUCUUCGGAGUGCGCGCGCUCGAAGCGACCAAGCGGCAGCCAUUACCACCAGCGUCGGCGCAUUGUUCUGCCGUCGUUGGUGUCUCCCGCAGUUUCGAACAGCCAAGACUCCACGACUGCAGCCGUUUCAUUGCCAGCUGUAAGGAUGAAGCAGCUUCAUAGCCGGACAUCAGACGCCUUCCAAGUUCCCCUUUUCAGCAACAGAGGCAUAGGAUGCCAUUCUACCUGUGCUGCAUUGUGUGGCUGACCACUCCUAGGAUCUCAGCAGAAUCAUUACACAGUUUCAGAAGCCACAAUUGCCUGGCAUGCUGUCUGGUCAUGAUGCGUGGCUACAAUGCACAACCUUUUGAGGAUUCCAGACUGUACACAACACUUGUGGCCUAGUUUGCCGGAUGCAUAUUAUGCCGAAGUCCUGCUGACCCCAAGCAUGGUGUGAAAUGAAGAAAUGGCACUCCACAUCCAUAGAGAGCUUGAUUUCCCCUGUUUCAUGCUUACUUGUUGGCAUAGCCAGUCUGUUAGCUUAAUUUUUGGUUCUUCCCUAUUGAAUGCUCAAGAAAGGCACCAAAACUGUCAUUCAUUGAAAAAAAAGUUGUUUGCAGACACUGCCAUGCACAAAGCCCUUGACCUCAUUGAAUGUUUUUAAAAGAAAAUGCAGCUUCUGUGUGCAGCAAUAGGCUGAACAAGAUGAGGGCAAACAGGAAGGUUGCGACAUUAGUGUUCAAGAGUUGGCCAACAAAGAAGGUCACAAGCUGAAGCCAACAUCUUUACAAGGGAACAAAUGGAUUUAGCCUGAGCCAUUCCCUGUUCGACCAGCCAAGUCUCCUUGUCGAAACAUGUGCUCUAGCCUGAGGCGUACAUAUCCCGUUCUACCACUCUCGAUCAACGAUACACCAAUACAAUUAGCAACUCGUGGCAAGGUCGUAAAUUCACGUUUUAAGGGAAUGUAGUGUGCACCCUGCAAGGUAGCAUGAAUAGUAUGGUAUUUACUUGAAUGAAAUGCAGAUUUGCUUGCCAGUUACUUUAUCCCCAUGCUAUAAUUGGAAAGCAUGGUUCCUAAGAGAGAAUAAUGAUUUGAAGUUCACGCAGUUUUGCUCCUUUAUGUAAGUUCACACUGUUACGGUUGCUACACUACCAGUCCUGUCUGCAACUGCAUAGUAGUGUUCCGAGUACGCAGCCCAAUUCAAUAGAAAAGGUAGGCUUUUUCCUCAAAAAUGUGCUGCUGCCUCACAGCUUGAUGCAGACAAGUAUUUUAUAUCUGGAUGGUGACUGCAAUAGGAUGUGCUUCUUAAAUAAGAGCGAUAUGCUGUUUCAAGUGCAAUUAAAUGCAAUUUCAAAUGACCUCAGCUUGGGGGAUCACACGAUGGGAGGCCAAUGUGAGAAGGAGGAUUUGAUAUUGUUACGUUCGAUAUGUUACAUUACAUACUGUGACAAUAUCUUAGAACAAGGCACUUGAACAUGAGAAAGCACGACUUAUUUCAUCUAAAGUUGCUACUGUUGGAUAUGAUCAGGGAAGGUACUUAUUCGUGACUCCAUUUGCAACAUGUUACAAUGCUGGCUUAAUAUUUUGCACUGGGUAGAUGAAAAAACCACUGCUUGCACAAUAUUCAACUAAACAAGGUUUAGUUGAACAACUAAACACAAUAUUCAACUAAACAAACACAACUCAUGCACUAUUAGAAAAUAAAUACGAAGGGUGAUCGUUUCUAAGUUUUAUGGAAUUUUUAAAAAUUGCCUGUGGCAGACAGCAUAAUUCUUGUCCUUGAGCUGGACUAUUUGAAGAGGCGGAUUACUAGCACAAGAAAUCGAAACACAUAUUCAAUUAGUUAAUGAAAAUUUCAGUAAUUAACUUCUUAACUGAUUAGUUUACAACGCAUAUUGCAAUUAACAAAUGGUAGCCAGAGAGCUUGCAAGACAUCUACUUGAAAUGGAUUUCCAGGAUGACACCAGUUUCGAGAUAUUAUUUCCAAAGUGUGGGACGAAAUACAUGAAUGUUCUAGUUACUUUUGUGCUUCAAUGGAGAAGAUAGCAUUUUGUUAAAAAUAUAAGUUGAUAAACAGUGCAUUUUUAGGGCAAGUUUGAUGGCAUAUAUCUCCAAACUGGUGUCAUUAUGGAAAUUCAUUCCAAGUGGAUAUGCCUUGCAAACUCACCGGCUACAAUUCGUAAAUUGCAAUAUCGGCCGUAAAGUACUUAAUUCAAAAGAUAAUUAGUGGAUUUUUGUUAAUUAGCUGAAUAUGUGCUACGAUUUGUCGUGAAAGUAAUGUCCGCAUCUCUGACAAAUACAGUUAAGGACUAGAAUUAUGAUAUCUGCAACAGGUUAUUUUUAAGAAUUGUGUAAAACUUAAAAAUGAUCACCCUGUAUAUAGGGGACCCUGUUUGGAACUUUCACAAAUCUAGUCAUAAACAAAAAGACCAAGGAUCAAAUCCCGGCCAUGGCGGCCACAUUUCGAUGGGAGCGAAAUACAAGAACACCUGUGUACUUAUAUUUAAACGUACAUUAAAGAAUCCCAGGUGGCCCAACUUAAUCCAGAGUCCCUUCCAACGACGGCGUGUCUCAGAAUCAUAUGAUGGUUUUGGCUCAUAAAACACUAUAAAUAAAUUUUUAAUCUUUAGUAACCUGCUAAAAAAUGCAACGCAAUCACUAAACCAAAUGUUUUAGCUCGUUUGCGUGAUGAGUCCCAAUUUCUUAAUUUAGUACUUAGGUAUUUAUCAUCGUAUGUUUUGUGCUAGUUCAUGCAAAAUACCACCUCUGGUCGGCCUCAUUCUACAGUCCACUGUUAAUUUUGGGUGGCUUAGUCAUGCAAGUUCAACAUAUAUAUAGGCUGCAAUAUUGUGGAAUGUCUGCCCAAAGUAACAGUUCAAACAAAUGGUUCUGUAUUUAUGGUUCAAUAUGGGACGAAAUAAGAUUUCUUAAAUUAUCGUUUCUUGCGUUCACUAAUUUUAUUGUGUUAGGACGUGUACAAUAGUAUUGACUGGCAUGUUUACGAUGUAGUUUUUUUUUAAUCCAGACAGUUUUUUAAUGGUACAAGGAAUGCUUUUGAUUUGGCAGAAAGAACAUAUUUUAUUAUAUUUGUUACAUUUGGUGUAUAAUAAAUGUUGUUCUCUUUA